UGCACUGAGCUCUGGUUCUGCUGCUGUUGUCGACACUUUGCUCUGCGGUUUUUGAACCAAACCUGUGAAAUGAUAUCAAAGCCACACGUGCUUAGACUUUAGUGUGCUCAGAAACCAGCCCAAAGUCUUUCAUUGUGAUAAAGAAAGUGAUGAAGGGAAUUUGAUCUGAAACAAAGUGAUGCAACUGAGAAAUGAAGGAGUGUGAACAGUUUCCUCUGAGAGAAGAGAAUUAAUGUGGUUUUUAUCUGAAGUGAACUGACCCUUUAAUCACAUUCUGACAGUAUCGGUCAGGGAGGUCGUGAUGUAGUGUUGGUAAAUGAAGAUUUUCAUGGGCAAACGCACCUGAUUUACUUCAGAAAAUAUAUGAAGUGUGUGGUCACGAGUCUCUGAGCGGACGCGCUCAUCAGAACCGGCCCAAACACUGAUGGGUUCAGACAGGCCGUCGGCGGAGGUGAGGUAAACCCUUUCUUUCUGCUCUUUUUCAUUUAGUCCCACUCUUUUAUCAGCCUGAUCUGUCUUUCUGGCUCCUUUCCACCACUGCUGGGAACUUGAAGAAAUUCAGAGCCGACGGUUAUGUGAACAUGUCUUCCAUUUCAUUCUGCAAACAUUAUGAGAACGUUACUUUUGAAUGUUCUCUGAACGUUCUGAAACAAGUAGUAACAUUUAAAAAAUGUUCAAUGAACCUCCAACAAAACGCUCCAUGAACGAGGUAUAAAUAAUGUUUUUGUGCUAACGUUUUGAGAACAUUUUUAAAGACCUGAUAACUUUGAAUAAAUGUUCUAUUAAUCUGGCUCCUGAAGGAAGUCGAACAGAUCCGGAUGUUGAAGACAAAGAUGAUUAUUUUACUGUAUGGAUUCAUGCCUCUAUCGUGUGUUUGUGUUAACGUCUCACUCUGCCGUGCAGAGGAAAUUCUCUGGGAUUAUUUUAUGACGGACUGCUGGAAGCGGCGUAGCUCCAUGAGAGAAAUGAGCUCUUUGUCGGCCUGCUGUUUCCAGAGUUGAAGAACAAGAGAGGUUUAAUCCUCAUUGUUCCGCAGACUGGAGGGGGUGUGAAACGAUCCGACCGGCUUCCCUUAAUCCCAGCAGCCCCCAUCCCUCCAUCAGACAAUACAGACCCGAUCAUGGCCUGAAAGACAAGCAGAAACAUGUUCGCUGAUGCAAAGUAAGACUCUCUGAUCCUGCUGCUGCCCGAUUGUCUCUCGUCCCGCUGCGCUGGCGCCGCCAGAGAGACUCGACUGAGAUCAGACGCUGAUUGUGCCAGCGUAGCAUCUUUCCUCUUCAUCUGUCUCUGUACGGCUUUGUCUUCGGCUGCUGUAAACGCUGAAUGAGAGCGACCCGUACCUUUCUCCUCUGGUGUUUGAAGCUGUCUCUCCUCUUGCGAUGGAUCAGUCUGAUGCUGUACAGAGCGCCGACCAGCAGAAGAGCACCAGCUAUUCCAAUGCCAACAGGUGCCAACAUCC